UGUGUGUGUGUGUGAGCAGUUGGCCUGUAGCAAACACACUCUGUGCCAAACCAUCUGGGCCUUAAAUCUGUCCUCCACUAAAAUCGCUUUAGUUGCAAAACUGGUGCACACACACACACGCACACACACACACACACACACACACACACACACACACAUGCAGACCCCGAGAGUCCAGGGUUUGUUCAGAUGCUUUUUUUUUCCUUCUGUAUCCGUGACUGAUAUGUAUCUGGUCCGAAGUCCUCCGUAUCAGGUGUGUCACGCAGAGCUUUAAGUCUGAACUUUGUCAUGAGGAAGUUUGAAUAAUUCAGAGAGUUGAUGCUUCAUUUCAUUGACUUUGUGUGCUUUGGCGCAGCACCACCUGUAAAAUAUUAAUGGAUUUCGGUGGAGCCGCUCCUGUUGAUGAAGUCUUUAUAGGCGGCCUUCCUCUCUCUCCUGCAGCCGCCGUGCAUGUGGCCACUAAUGCUAACCCGACUCAGCUGUCCUCUCCCUCUGGAAAUGUAAAACACAGCACAGCACAGAGGAUUUUCCCAGUAAACGCCCACCACACACUCCCUGAAACAUCCACUCUGAUCCUCACACUCACAAUGAUGUCUCCUCCUUCUUCUCCUGCCACAUUUUUCAUACGUGAAAGCGUAAAAGAUGUGGAUGGUCGGGCGAAAGCUGUGACACACUGAUGGACAAAGAGUUUUAAGGCCAGCGGAGAGACAGAGAAUUGUCUGCUUAAUUUGGUGUCAGGGUAUUGACUGUGUUUGCUGUGCUGCCUGGCUUGAUUGUAUUGUUCACACAGAGAGUGAUUGGGGAAUUUGGUGUGUGUGUGUGUGUGUGUGUGUGUGUGUGUGUGAGGUACAACAGCACUGCAGAAAAUUACCUUGUAGGCGGCUGGCGGUCGUCUGCAGCAUGAAAGGAGCCUCCCUUUUCUUCUUUUGCCUUCUACCCAUCAUUAGGGUGUGCACUGCGUCUGAAAUGGCAGGUGGAAGUGUUAACAAUGUGUGCGUGUGUGUGUGUGUGUGUGUGUGCUUUAUGUAAUAAUGUGCGCUCGCUCGCUGGGCGCUGAAGCAGUGUGUACUCAUUGUUCUGGCAUCUCUCUCUCUCUCUCUCUCUCUCCUGACGAACCUCCUCGGCUGCGUUUGCUUUUCAUGACUGUUCAUGUAUCUGCUUCUAAACUCAGCCGCGGCCGCCUUUUCUCCUCCUCUCUUCCUUCCUGUUUUCUUUGUCCGUGAAAUCCGUCUCUCCGGUGUUUUUAACAUGCCAGCUUCACCUUUUUUGCAUUCCAGUUUUCUCACUCCUCUGUCUGUCUCGAGGGUGCUUAUCAGCAUUGUUCACAUUUCCCUGCUUUACCAGAGCAGUCAAGGUAUUUGCAUUUCAAAUGAGAAAUCUACUUCUCUGACAUGCAAAUUAAUGGAUGUAAAUUAUGCAUUUAUAGCAGGCUGCUAACGCAGCAGCAGGACCAGCCCAGACGAACACACAGGAUGGUUGAGGUUGCUACUGUACCAGUGGAGCAGAAAAUGCAGCCAUUUUGGGUUUCACAGCUGCUGCGCAGGGCGGAGAAGUGCAGCAGGCAGCCAGAACGUGACAGCUGACCACUUUAAGCUCAUUCAAUCAGGUAAAAAGGACUGCAGAGUCAGCUGGGAAAGAUGAAUCUCAAAUCAUGUUGAUUAUAAUCUAGUUUCCAAAUAAUUAAAGACAAACAGAUCUGAACAUUGGAAACAACCGCAGCCUGCUUUAAACUGCAACUGCUCCU